AUAGUAGGUAUUCAUUAAUGGUUCCUCUGACGUGUAAUUCUUUGCCUGGCUUGUGAUAUAAAAUCCUGCUAGCUGCUGAGCACUGAUGGAGCUGUGGGAUCUGUAGCAGGUCUGCAAUGCGCUGCCAGUGCCGUUCCUCGGGAGCACAGAGCUCCCGGGGCAGCCCUGGGGGCUCUCGUCUCCUGCCUCAGGGUUCAUUCGUCUACCACUGUUGCUUGUGUCACUUUUUUAACUUGAAGGCCUUCUGGCAGCUGCAAAUGUGUUUCAGUGAAGAUACAAAUACUCAUGAGGUGUUUGAUCUAGGCUGCUGAUAGAUAGGUGUGGGUUGAUUUAAUGUGUUCAAAUUAUAUUCCAGCAGUUCCAAAACAUAAUAGGACCAUAACAGCUUUACCCUGAAGCACUGUUAGAAGUAUUUAUAAUAAGUUGCUGCAUUUUACUACUAACACUCAUGAAGGCAACUGCAACAGGUCUCUGACACCAGCACUUUAUAUUACACUACAACUAACUUUGUAGCUGACAAUUGUGCUUUCUAAAUACUUUGAAAGGAACAUUACCAAGUUUUUGUAGAGAAAUGUCAUUUGUAGUUCAUGUAAACAGGAAGAGCCAUAAAUGGCCUGUUUCUUUUAAAGAAAGAAAUUGGUGUGUCAAAUUUACUUUUACUGCAUUCAGGUUGCUUUUUGGGUCUGAAAAUUGCAUGUUACAAAAUUUGUUAGAACAAUUAAGCAAAAUAAAAAUAGGAUUUGAAAAUGUAUGAAAAGAUAAAAAGUAAAUCUUUAGAUGAUUAAAAAGAAAUCAAAUGUAGUCAUGAUGAUGAUUCAGCCUUGCAUGUCUUAUGGUACCUGAUCCCAUUGCAGACAUAUUUUCCUUUUUAAUUUUUUAUUUUAAUUUAUUUCAUUCAGCUUUUGUCAUCCUUUCUGCACUUAGGAAAAACAUGACUAUAUUACUGGGCAUUUAUUCAGCUCAGUUGUUGGCGUCAAGUUUCUAAACCUUGCUGAGUAAACCAAAUGGGUUGGUUUCAACCUGCUUAGUUUCUAGUUCAUACCUAAAAAAAACCACAAAGAAACCUUUGUAAAAACCCAUUCUGCUUUCAUUUACAGCUUUUAUGGUGUGUGUGUGAAGUUCAUAAAAUUCUCAGCCUUAAAGUAUUGGUAACUCUUACACAAAAGGACCAGACAACAUUUUCUGACUCGUGCUGGGAUUUAAUUGUGCAACAUAAAAGGAGUUCUCAGCCCAGUGCAGAUCUAAGAGUUAGAACCAAGCAGCAGAGCUGUGGAGUCAUGUCCAAACUCCUGUCACCCUCUUCGUUAAAUUAUGUGAAAGAUCCUUAGGGAUGUGUGGCAUCUCCCCAGAGAUGUGUGCCACAGAAAGAACUGAAGUGGCCAUAGAAUUGUAGACUGGGUUGGGUUGGAAGGGACCUGUUAAAGGUCACCAGUACAUCCCCCCUGCAGUGAGCAAAGAUAUCUUCAGCUCCAUCAUUCCAUAAGAGCUUUCUCUCGUGCUUCUAUUCCAUGUGUUUCAUAAUUGUUUUCCUGUGGAAGGAUGUGACUUAGCACAGGUUUAAGAGGAGAACUGUACGUAAUGUGCUCCAGAAGAAACCUUUAAAAUCAGCUAUCAGUUAAGAGUGGAGAAAGAUGGAGAUGUGGGAGAGAGCCUCCAUUCAGUAGCUGGGGGGGUUAUUUUGCUUUUAAAGCACAUGCACAUUGCCAUCAGUGUCCAAAAGGGGCCCAUCAGUGAUCCUUCCACUGCUUAGGUGUGACAUUUAGAGAUAUUCUUUAGGGUUUCUGUUCAGUGGUUACCAGUAUUUACCCCAGGACUGGCCUCUCUGCAGAGUCCCUGUGAGCCCUUCAGUGGGAGCAGGGAUUCCUCAGGAUGCAGCUGGCUCUGGAGGCACAGCUGGGAGCAUGGCCUGGCCAUCCCCUGCUCAGCUCUGGGCACUACAAUGAGCUCAGCCCUGUUUCCCUGCUGCCCCUGCUGCUGAAGGCUCACUGCCUCACACUCUGGGAACGUUUUACUGCCCACUAUGAGUAUUUCAAGAUGCUACAACUGAUCAGCUUUGAAUAAUUGCUGUUAACAUUUUGAGCUUUUAUCACCAAGUAGUAGUUUAUGAGAUUUUUGUUCCGGUGUACAGAAAGAUGUAACUUCUGGAAAUCAACUGUAGGGAUUCAUUAGUUAUGUAUGAUCUUUUGAACAUACAAAUUCCUAUAAAAAUACUGAUAUAAAGGGAUUUUGCAUUCUUUUCAAAUGCCUUCUUGAAAAUCUUUAAUGAAAUCUUUUAAUGAAAACUGUAAUCCAUAGUACUCUAUGCCCUUUUUAAAAUUUAUUUGUCUUUUAAGCCUGGGUAAUCUUGGCAAACAUCUGAGGAAAACUAAACAAGUAAAACAAAUGAUGAUCAUAAAAUUGUGUUCUUGAACAAUGUUUCCAGCCCCAGAAUUUUCCAGUUCUGAAAAAUUGUGUGAUUCAGAUAAAAGAAUUAAUCCAUACAUGCCUUCUAAUCCUUGGGCUCAGUUUUCAAGUUUCCUUCUGUACCAUUCCUGCAAGUAACUUAAAAUUGCAUAAAUAGUUGAGAUUUUCGCACUCAGCAUGAUUUUAUGGCUGAAGCAUUAGAAGAGAGAAUAGAAGAUGCAGCAAAUGUCAGGAGAUGACAACAGACAGUGUGUGCCCAUUUAUCUUACCAAGUCAGACAGACCUCUUGUAUAUGCCUGCAGCUUAUGAUGAGCUCCUCCGAGCUGAUCAAAGAGACACUUUAACUCAGAAUAGACUGGACUGAAAUCUAUAUGAUAUAAUUACCUUUUUAAACUGAGAGAAACACAAAGUGAUGGCAUGAGGCAGAGGGGGAUAAAUAGAAGUGAACAUCUCUUUCUUUCAUCACACUGUCCUUGUGGGAAGAUCCUUCCUUUCAGUCUCUGUCUCAGUUAGUCCACUGACCAAGUGGGUUGCUAUAGACUCUGCCCAGGCUCCUCUUAUCCCUGAGAAGUUCUUCUUUCCACCACCUGGAGACCUGGCUGUGUUUGCUCCUUUUGGCAAACUCCUGUCUGAACAUCAGGCUUCCAGCUCUGAUGUUACCUCUCACCUCUCCUCCUUGCUGUGCCCUUGACAGUGAGAGUUUCCAGCCUCUGGCUCUGUAGGGAAAGACUUGGUCCCUCUCCUACAGACAGCCUAGCCUGGCUGUUCCUUUUUUUGAGAAGAACAUAACAUAAAUCAAUAAACAAAAAUAUGGCUUAAUUGUAUUGUGCUGUCAUUGGGAAGUGAAAUUUAAAUUUGUUUUAGAGCAGGAUUUUUCCUCCUCUCUCACAUGUAAUGAUAUACAGAAAAUGCACAUAAAAGUAUUUACAGAGAUUUCAUUCGCACCAAAUAAACCACAAAAAUUUCUGGUUAAGUCAUAAGUUAACUGGGAGUUUUCUUGCUAUGUAAACCUACAGGUACAUAAAAAUGUGAUCUGAGAUAUGCCUCUGUCCAGUCAAUACUUAGACAAGGAAUUAGUGUCUGAAGUGAGGUGGCAUCAGGUGAUUCUUCUCACCCACAUCAGGGCACAGUGGUGAUUGCUGACAUCAUGUUCGUUCUUCCUAAGCCUGGAUUACACCAAUCCAAGCAGUUUUGGAUAACACACAGAUACUUCACACAUAUUCUUCAGGUGAUGAAAAUCAGCUAGAAUUUAUAUGUGGCUUUGUUCUAUGUGGGAAAUUACUGUGGAAAUGACUCUGAAACAAACAUUUGGUCAUCUGGUGUGGCACUUUCUUUCCAUCUUCACUUUUGCCCAAGUUUGUGAUGUCUAUUUGUGUCUGAGUGGUACAUCCACUUCCUUUCUCUAUGAGCUGUGAGGUCUGUGCUUGGGCUGAAAAUAGAAGGAGAAGAAAAAGGUAGAACUGUGUUGGGGGUGGGAAUGUAGGCAAUAGCUUGUGAGUAUGGAUGCUGAAAUCUUUAACGCUAGAUUAAAGCGUAGCCUCUUUUCUCCUUAGACUAGCAUAUAGGGGUUUCAUAUAUUUGAGUGCAAAUCAGAAAAAAAAUCCACAAUGCUGAUUUUUAAGAUAUGCUAAGUAUUGUCAGUUGUCAGGGAAUAAAAUUUGAGAGAUGAAUUUUUUUGUAGUUUUGAAAAGGAGCACUUCAGCGAGUGUUUAGUUCUGCUGUGUGAUCAGUGUGUCCUCUCCUGCUCAUUUAUCACUGAUACAGUCCUGCAGACGGGUCUAAGAUGCCUUUGCAAAUGCUAUCUGUUCAAAAGAUGGGAAGCCUGGCGUAGGAAGCACUUAGUCAGACAAUUAUCCUUGUUGGGGCUCCACAGCUUCUUGGCAAGGGCUGUUGUGUCUUAUCCAUUACGGCUGGAGCCGGUCUGAGGGAGUGAUAGAGUGAUUUAAAAUAAAUAUCUGAGAGGAGAGAAUUGAAAGGAGUUGGAAUAGUGUAGUUCCCUGUUCUUCAUCCCCAAUAUAUUUCACUUUUAAUUCUGCAUGUAAAAGUCUCCUUACUAUAUGUUUUUGAACUCCCAGUGGUAUAGGAACAAUUCAAUGCAUGUUGGGACCAUCCGUUUUUGUUUUGUGGUUUCUUUACAUUUUAGUAAACCUCUUCCCUUUCAUUAGAAGAGGCUGACAUAAAAAUAAUAUUUUCAAUAUGCUGUUUUUAUUUAUCUACAUUCUGUCAUGAUAUACUUUGAUGUAAGUUUUUAAUUUUGCUUCAGCUUUCAGCUGCUGUAGCAGUUACUGCUCAGGGUCAGCGAUGAGGUUAGCCACAGUAGCACAAAACAAUUUCCUGUGCUCUCAGCCCAGGUAGCAUUUGGAUGUGGAUUAAAUUUUACCACAUUUUCCAGUAGCCAGACACAAUUAUUUCUAAUGAGCUUUAAAUUGCUUCCAUAACAUGUAUUUCAAAACUUAGUGUGGUAAUCCAUUCAGUGCCAACUUCAUAAGAUAACGGGUCUUCUUCAAAAUUUUGGUUAAACUGAUUCUUGCUGUCUAACAGGUAUUUCUCAGCAGCAGCUGAGCUUGACAGUGGAGUGCUCAGUGCUCUCAGCUGUGUUGUCUGCCCUCCUCUCUCCUGUGACAGUAGUUCCAGAAUAUAUUGCACUUCAUUAUGGACUCAUGUUUUGGAAUCAGUUUCUUUUGGCAAAUUUACCUUGGGCGUGCUCAUUGGGCUGAUUUGAGAGGUUUUAUGCACAUUUUGUUGUUGUGGAAGCUUUAAAAAAAUCAUUUCUUGAAGCUCUUAUCUUUAUAAUUCACAUUUUCCUGUUUUGUCUGGCCCCUUCUUUGCACUGCCCAGCAUUCCAAAUGCCUAGAAGGUGUAUGUUCAACCAUCUUUAUGGGUAGUGGUGAAUAAUAAAAAUAGGAAAGGGGAAAAGGCAAAAACCAUUUUUCUCUAUAAAUGUGAUACAUUUUCACAACCUUUGUUUAAUCUCACCAAAGUCUUCGUCUAAUUCACACAUGUUAAAAUAUGAUUUAGUUGUAUUAUUAUCUAAAGUGCUUAUUGGUCUGAAGUCUAGAACAAGCCCUGCUGAAAUGAAACUCAGCCAUAAGAAAAUCACUUUGUGUUACAGCUUCUCCUGUAAAAGCAAUUAAGGAGGAGAGCUGAAAGGAAAGCUGUGUGUCCUGACGUGCUCCCGUGUCUGGGGGGGAGUGAGGGAAGGAGCUGGGAGGGCCCUGGAGUGCUGAGCUGUGGGGUGCUGAGCCGUGGGGAUGUUCUCUGCGGGCAGAGCAGCCCAGCCUGCUGUUGGCUGGCUCAGUACUUCCCUCUGCAUAUGCACACUUCUUUUUUCCAGCUCCUUUGGUUGUACUAAGGAGUCUUUCAGUGAUUAACUCAUUAAAAUUCACAGCCAAAUUCAAGACUAUAUUUCCUCUCCAGCAGUUUCACCAAUAUCUUUAAAAAUCCUUUUCUUAUUCCUGUCAGAAUUUUGUAUCACCUCUGAGGCUCAGAGUACACAAUUUCUGUGAGUGACAUUGCUGUCAAAUGCAGGGCAAAAAGUUGGAUUAAAGGAAAUUAUUGAGAAUUUUGAAAGUCAGUAUGUUUUAAGAUUGUGUGAUGCAAUUUCUCCCACAUUAAGAAGAAAUUGGUGCAAGUUGGAUUUUUUCGUUUGAUUUUUAACUCAGUAGUAACACUGGGACUGCCCUGAUUAGUCUCUACAGAGUUUUCGUUUUGACAGGAGCUAUGGAUUUCAAACACAAUUUUUAAGUUCAACAUGUCAAAUGUCGCUUUUGUGUUGAUUUAAUUUCUUCAAAUUGUUUCUUUUAACAAUAACAGUUUAUAAAAAUAUAUUUUGGUCUUCCACUACAGGGAUUAUAAAUGUAAGCAUAUCCUCAGUAGCUGAGGAGUUGUUCCUGACCUGAUUCCAAGUACCUCAGUAAAUUAGUUUAUGUUCAGUAGUAUCCAUAGUGUGUAAAAAUAUUCCCCUGAAGCUCUUGCUAAAUGUUGCAAGUAGAUCAUUGUUUUUUUAUCUAGUCAAGCAUGGCACUUUAUUUCAUAUUUUUUUUCAAUAACUAAUGCUAAACCACUACUGUGUUGGAGCCCUGCAACCUCUGCAUCGCGCUGGGACCCGGCACCGCCUGGUCUUUCACCUCUGCUGCUCAUCUGAAAUCAGCAGUUCCCACUCUUAAGCCCUUUUAAAAUGAGUCCAUGAACACAGCACAGUUCUCUGUGUACUCUGUCCACUUGCAAAAAACAGCUUUUAAUGUCACACUAGACCCAAACUCUGCUCAGUGUUUCACUGAGGAGGGACAGGCCUCGAAUUCCCCCACUGCCAGGGCUGGGCCUCCCCACAGCCAGUCCUUUGUGCUCAUCAGUGGGUUUUAAUUACUGGGUGAGGUUUUAGUGAAGUAAUAAAAAUGAUGGAAUAUGAACACUAGUGGAUACCUCCUAGAAUUCAUGUUCCCAUGCUGAGGGACUCCUCAGGUUUUUCCAGCUUCUUUUCUCAUCAUCCAUUUUUCACAUUGAAUUCCAGUUAAUUUCCAUAUUAAGUACAUAAUUGCCUUCUUGACAAACUACUAAGCUCUUGCCAUCUGUUGUUGCUUAUUACACCAAGUACUUGACUGACCGGGGGCUGUAGGAUGUCAUGCUUGGACAGCUCAGCUACAAACCCAAGGCUGUUCCUUUCUUGGAUCCAGAACUUUGGUCAUUUCCUAAGCCAGGUAUGUGUUUGUGUUAAUGAAGUUGGGAUUUGCAGCAGUGAAUUUAAUAGUGAAGACCAGCUCAGGUUAGUUUACAGCACUCUUACCUUUCUGUCCUGUUUGUGCCCUGAGAAUUCUACCAUUCAACAGUGGUUUCCAAAAACAGUGUGUGCCUUCCCACUUGAUCUCACAGACAGAAUUUUGUAUUUCAUUUUAUUUUUUUCAUAGAAUUUGGAAUUCACAGAUUUUUCUCAAUAACUAGAACAGGACUUGUCAAAAAGGUUAAUGCUAAUUAAGAUGAUCUGUCUAGGAUAUAUUAAAAUACUGCACUGUGCGAAGCUAAAUGGAAUUUAAUUUUUUGUAAGUGUAAUUUCGCAGUAAUGUAAAGUAUUAAAAUAAUAUCCAGGUACACUAGGAGACUUUCUUAUUUUUCUGGUAUGUUUUUACUUUUCAAAGAUGUUUUGGAUACCAGCCCUGUUUAGUAUAACAGAGAUUUAACACCAUUUGGAGCUAAUUACUGUGCAUCACCAGUCACUUGGAUGGUACCUCUUCCCCAGUUACACUGCAGCAUUUGGCAAUAUCAAAAACUAAGCCAGUCUUAUUACCCACUUUUGGCAUAUCUUACCCAAGAUCAUAUGAGUUUCAUUACCAGUUUGGAACCUCACAUCUUAUUCUGACCUCAAUAUCUGAAGGACUUACUGCAGUAGGUAAGAAUUACUUACACUUGGCUAAAGGAAGAAUUCAUGUAUUUAGAUAUCUUAGAUUUUCAAAGCAGCACAUUCAUUUAUAUCUUUAAAAAGUUAAUAUCAAGGGACAGUGGAAAAUGCUGGCUUUUGAACAUUUAAAGAAUGUGACUAUUUUAGUUACUAGAACUAAGUUCUUUUAAACCUGUAGAUUUUUACAGAUAGUGUUUUUAAAUAUUCUUUUCUUACAAGCCUGAAUUGUUAAAAUUAUUAAUGUGCCUCCACUAGAAUUGUACUGAAAAUUCAUGCAUUUGUUAUUCAGAAGUAAAAUAUUAAUGUAUGUACAAGUAUCUGUGGGGUUUUGUUUUUAUUUGAUCAGCAUGGCUGUUGUAUAAAUAACACUUGUUCUGCACAGCUGUGAUGUGAUUUGAGCAAUGUAAAGGUAUCUGCCUGUGGAAAAAAGAAACCUGUUACUCAGUACUUCCUGAAUACGCUUUAGAGGAGAAUCAGAGCCAGGGAAGGAUACUUGGAGUAUGAUACAAACACAACAGUCUGAUUGCAAUUCAUUUAAUUCACUUACACUGUUUAAUUUAUGCUUUUGAACAAAAUAACUGUUCAAACAUUUGGGGUUUGGGCAGGGAGGUGAUAGUCUAAAGUAAUUUGGAAUAUGGAGAAGGAAACAGCAUUUGUGGGAAAUAAAAAUGAAUCAUGCAGUUACGUUCUGGUCACCCAGGAAUACCAUGCACAGUUUUUGACUGGGAAGCUAUUCAAAACUUUGAGUUGAAUUUAUUGAUUAGGCCAUUAUUAGGGAGAGAGAAAUAGGAAUGUAGAACAUUAGUGUGUGUAGAUGUUCUUGUGUAAUAGCUGGUGUUGCUCAUCCCUGCCCAGUGCCAGUCAGGCCCCACAGGAAUGAAGGAAGCCACUGAGGCUCAUGAGCACUCGUGUGUCAACACAUUCAGCAGUUUGUGGGAGCCCUCUGAGAGGAGAUGGGCAGUGAACAGCUGAGUAGCAGUGCUGAACAAGUAUUCAGGUCAUUCUGUUAUGUAACACCGAAAUCCAUCCUGUCCGAAAUAUUUUGGGUGCUUUGUCACCAUUCUGCCCAUGGUCUGGUCCUGCUGGGAGCCCGCCUGUUGCUGGGCUGCAGGUGGAUAUACUGCACUGAACCUUGACUUGGCCAACAGCUGCCAGUUCAGUGAUCCUGGGCUCUGUCAUCCUUCACACCUCUUCCACUUGAGAGACUGGUUUUGUUCAUUUUUAUAAUUCAUUAGCAUACCAAGUUUAAUUACCCAUCUCUUUGAAACUCAAACUAAACUAAUGUAAAAGAGAGAGAAGAAAAUGUAAAAGCUAAAUAAGUUUUAGCUUUCAGAUGUUCUGUUUAUUCUCCCCUCUCAAAAAGAUAGGAGGAGUGUGAAAAGUAUGUCUUUCCAGCUUUAGCUUCGAACUUUUGUGGUUUAGGUACCUGGGAGUUUAAUCAUGGAGAAUUACUAAUUUUUUAGGAACAUCUUAGCUAACUUGUAUUCUGUAGAAUUCCUAAUAUUCUGCUGAGAAAAGCAUCAACAAAACUUUUAACAGCUUACUUUUUUCAUAUUUCAUAGGCCAUAGAUUUGUUUAGCCAAUGCUCUCCUUCAGUUCAUCUCAAUGUCCUUAAUGCACCUAAAAUAAAUACUAAUAAACAGAGGGUGGAAUGCCAUCCUUGGAGAUAUUCCUAGAUACUGGACAAGGUCCUGCGGAACCUAUCUGGUGCUGACCCUGUUUUUGACAGGAGGUUGAAUGGAGGAUGGUCUCGUUUGGUUUCUGCCUCUGUCUUUAGGAUCCUAUGGGUAUUUUUCACUUGUAUUCACUUCUGUCCAAACUGCCUAUGCAGCCUCUAAUCUUUGGAAGGUCUCUCACACAUUCUGAGUAGUACUUGAUGGUUGAUGAAAAGCUCACCAUGGGCUGGCAGUGAGCACUGGUAGCCCAGAAAGCCAACAGAAUCCUGGGCUACAUGGAAAGGAGCGUGGCCAGCAGGUCAAAGAAGGGGAUUCUCCCCCUCCAUUCUGCUCUCCUGAGACCCCACCUGGAGUGCUGUGCACAAUUCUGGUGUUCCUAACACAAGAGGGCCAUGGAACUGUUGGAGCAAGGCCAGAGGAGGCCACAAAGUUGACAAGGAGACUGGAGCACCUCCCCUACAAAGGCAGGCUGAGAAAGUUGUGGCUGUUCAGCCUGGAGAAGAUUGUGUGGGGACCUCACAGCACCUUCCAGUGUCUGAAGGGGCUACAGGGAAGCAGGAGAGGGACACUUUGUCAGGAACGGUAGGGACAGGACAAGGGGAAAUGUGUACAAACUGAAAGAGGAAAUAUUUAGAUUAGAUAUUAGGCAGAAAUUCUUUACUGUGAGGGUGGUGAGACACUGGCACAGGUUGCCCAGGGAGACUGUGGAUGCCCCAACCCUGGCAGUGUUCAGGGCCAGGUUGGAUAAGGCCUUGAGCAACCUGGGAUAGUGUGAGGUGUCCCUGCCCAUGGCAGGGGGGGUUUGGGACAGGAUGGUCUUUAAGGUUCCUUCUAACCCUUAACAUUCUAUGAUUCUACUUAACUUCCCGCAAUCAGUCAGCUGAAAAAUGCUUCUUUUUUUUCCCUUUCCAUCUUGGAGUGAUAAAGUGAUUAUUUUUCCUUUAUAUCAUGUUUCUUAAUACUGUGUGUAUCAAGAAUUGAUAUGCAAGCCUGCCAUUAAAUUCCUUAUUUGUGUUAAAGAAAUUUUAUUUUCCAUACUCCUAUAAUGACAUGUCCAGAAGAAUUACUCUUUGGCUCUUAAUGUUAAUUUACUUGGUUUUGAUCAUCUCAAGAGUUAUUUACCUACCCUUUAUCCCUCUUAAAAUGUUGGUAUUUUUGACAUUACCAACUGUCAGACAUUGAAAUAUAAAUUUAUUUCCUGUGUGUUAUUUGGUCACAUACAUCCUUCUGCCCUCGGAAAACGGGUAAGUAGAUCCAAGCAUUGCCUUUUUCACUGAAUUGUAUCAGUGCCACAAGAACGUCUCAGAAUAGUAGGGCUUAGGGCUAUAAGCCAUCUGAGGGGAAAUUGUGUUUUAAACUGAUUAGAACAUAGAAGUCAUUUUCAGAAAUGUUUAUAAAAAUUAAAUAGCUGUCUUUUUAUUUUAAAAAUUAAAUGCCAGGAGAUCACUUCUCUUUCACAGAAAACAGUAUAUGACGUUUUUUCUCUAUUCUCUUUACGUAUGUGAAACCUUUGAGACUCUCAUUGUUGUCAGCUGUAAGACAAACAGUCCCCAAAUCCUUUUUUCUGAGGAGUGUUCAUUCUGUUGCUGAGUGAAUACCUUGCUUGAUUCCUCACUUUAUAAGCACUGUGAAGGAAUAUGUAUUCCUUCUGAGGCACCUCACUGUAAAUCAGCUGUAAUGGGAGGAUAAACGCUCCAAUAGUUCCCUUCAAAGUGUUUACCUGGCUUUUUCACAGCUGACUCAGUGGAUCAGAGCCUUUUAAGGCAGUCUGCCUGGCAUGUUGUCACUAAUCUCUGCAAAACUUUUCAAAGUCUUAUAUGAUUAAUAGUAUAGUAUGCUAUUCAUUGAGGAAAAAGUAAAACAUUUUUUCUGUCUUGCUGCCUAAUUUAGAUAUUAAAUUGUUUAGUCUCAAAGGCAAAGAAUGCCAGUAUUGAACUAUAUGCAGUUGAUGGACACGGAAAGUAUCAUUUAAUUCCCUCUCCUUGCCCUUAUUUGAAAAACAAAACAAAAUCUUUUAAUUUGCACAGAUUCAGCUGUGCAAAUGUUGUUAAACUGUUGAAAAGCAAUUCCGUUUCUGCUUGCUGUUGUCAUAUUGCUGAGACCAAAAGUCAUCCUCAAGUCUUCUGGGGCUUCUGUUGGCUUUUCUAAAAUAAUCUAAUCCGCUCUAACAUACAUGCUCAACUUAAGCUAAUGGCUGAUUGGAGUUGCAUAUAUAAGGCAAAACCACACAGAUAACAAUAAAGUACAUGUAAGGUUAGUCCUCAAACAUGAAAUGAAUGGCAAAGGAGAAACCCCAAGAGCUAGUGACUGGUGCCAGAGUCGUCAUCCAUGUCCUCUGCCCGUCACCAACCCCCCCUUGCCAUCAGGGAGGUCCAGAGAGAUGUUUUGCUUGACAAAGCUGCUGAACUGUUGCUGGGCCCAUGCUGGCACACACAGAGCUGGUUGUGGUGUUUCUGUAAAUUAUUCGUUCACAGUGAUGGAGCUGAGUUGACCAGAAGCAAGAAACACGGUUUGACUGCAUUUUUCCUGAUUAUCCCAAGCUUUUAUCUCAGUUUCUUUUAUAAUUCUAUCUUUAUUCUGUCUUCUCACCCAUUUAUCUGUCCAUAGCCUAGAACUGGUAGCUCCUCGUUGCUCCUGUUUGUUCUUUUUAUUUAGUUGGCUUGUCUCACUAAAUCUUAGUGAGAACACUAUUCUGCCCAGCACAGGGUUCCACAUGCCCAGAAGAGUCAUUCAAGGGAGUUUGCUUGACACUCCCUGUCUGCAAUCAAAAGGAAAAAUGAGCAUAGGGAGCAUAUUUGAUAUAUAGUUAUGGGCAAAUUUAAGUAGCUCUUAACACUCAUAUCAGAUUCUCAUGAGCAAAUGAUAGUGUGGACCUGUCUGCUGUCCUGCUAAAAUCACUUACUGUCAAAUGUAAAAUACCUACUUGUACAGUAUCAGCAUGUUUAGAACUACUGCUGUUUUGUAAACUGAUGAUAGUGAUUUACUUUGUAUUAUUCAAUUUAAAAAGAAAUAGAGUUAAGCACUGGUUAGGAAAUACAGCAGAACCCUCCUAUGAAAUAUGUAUUUUCAAAUCUCUCUCUUGUUGUUAUUGAUGGCGAUUCAAUUCCACCAUGAAUUGCAUUUCUAAUUUAUAUGCAGGACUAUUUGAGUUGAGAAUAUGGUAGUGCUGCCUUUGCUUUGGCAAGACUGACAGCUUUGAGCUCAGCUUUGCUCCAACAAUGUCUUGCCCUCCUGCCUUGUUGGGUUCAGCCCUCAGAAGCUCACCAGUCCUGUGGAGACAGAGCUGAGAUGCUCCAGCUCAUUUCUGUGAGCUGUUAGAUCACUCCCAGCUCCAGCUGCUGAGUCAACUGGUUGCUUUGGAAGAUCAAGCCUUAGGCCUUGUAUCUUCUCUGCCUGUAAAUGUCCCUUGAGUGUUCCUCCAAAACACCUCCAAAACUGCAAGAUGCAGUUAGGAUUUCAAUUGGUGAAGGGUUAAUAGUGUCAGCACAGAGCUUAAGGAGUUAAACAGACACUGAUCAAAAUACUUCAGGGUCUAGAGGGAUGUGUUUAAAUGAACACUGCAAGGUUGGCAGGCCUCCAAAUUAGCAUGGUUUAAAGAAUUCAAGGUACAUUUAAUUGGAUCCUUCUAAUCCCUUUUCCCUUAGAAUGAGCAUUUUAACAGUUUAAUUCCUCUUGCAACCCCCACAUCCCUUACUCCAGUGGCCCAUCUAAAAUAAAUACUGUGAACUAUAAAAGGCCUAGACAAGUUCUUGCUGAAGCCGGUGGCAACAGGAUGUAGUCCUCAACACUCCACUCAUUUGGAUCUGAUCUUUGGAAUUGCAGAGAAUAUCAGAUAGGGCCAAACCUUGCACCCAGCAGUGAAGAUACUGCACGUAUGUAAGGAGCUUCCAUCAGCUGGUGUUGGGAUGGAGCUGGCAGUGGUCAAACGUGUGGCCCUGGCCAGGAUGACAGAACAGGAGCUGGGAGGCAGCACAGGGGUCCAUGUCCAGUUUCCCAGGGAGUCCCUCAGUGCCAGGACAGAGGAAACAGCCCCUGGGCAGGGUAAGGUGCCCUGCUGUUUGCCAGAGGAAGUUUGAGAGGAGCCUGCAUGAGAACCAUGGACACUGGUUUUAAUGUAUUUAAACUGUAUUUAAUGUACUUUAACCCACUUGAAUUACAGUUGUUAAGCAAAAUUACUAACUGGCUGUUUUGUGAUGACCUUUUUACUGUCCUUAAUGGCCCUCGUUCAGUGUUGGACACCUGGCAUGGAUUGUAAGAUCCUUGGGGCAGACAAGAACAGUGACACACUACUUGAGAAAAGCUUGGACAGCAGCUCUAUUUGGCUUAACCUUGUCUUCUCAGUAGGGAGAUCAAACCAGAAUUUUAGUUUCCAGGAAUCUGGAGUCUUUUGGAUGUGAAGCUGAAUAUUAGUAAAAUGUUAGCCCUCAUCCUGCACUUCCCAGUACACAGAGGGGCCACUGUAUUUACAGCUGCAAAAGACAGUCACUGGAGUUACAUAAUCCUUCCUUUAUGGAGUUACCAGUCCCCCAACAGCAAAGUUUAAUACCACUGUUCCUUGGUAAAAGCAGUCUUCAAAGCUAGUCAGCCUUCAAAGCUAGUCCAGUGUGUUGAAACUGGACUUGUCGAUUUAUCAGUUAGCCAAAGAGAGUAAAUGUUGAGCUCUCCGAGUACUUUAAAAUGUCAUUAUUAGUUAUUCUUUUAUAGAAACAAUUUCAAAACUGUUUCAUUUUUUACACAGAUAUGAUUGGCUCCUCCAGCUGUUGUGCUGUUUUAGACUACAUUGUCACCUACCUCUUCAGGAACCUUGCUAAAGACAAGACUCUCAUAUGUACAUAUGUAUUAUAUAUUACAUAUAAUACAUAUGUAUUAUUACAUUUCUGAAUUUUCCUGAUUUUUUGUGGUACUGAACACCAAGGUAGCAUUGGCUAUUUUGGGACAGAACAAACCUCCCUAUGCUGGUAUGCAACCCUGAGUAGCUUCAGCCAUGUUCUCAUGACAAGCAAAGACUGGAGGUAUUUUUUAUCGUAUUGAACAAUGUAGUGUGCUUGGCUGUACAGUAUCUUACAACUUGGUGUUUCAUUUUUGCUCAUAAAAAGGUGUGUGAGAUCAUCAAUACAUUUCUACAGACAAUUGGGAAGGAAAGUCUCUGAAGUAUUUUAGGAGGACAAAGAAAAAUUCUGGCAUUGAACCACACAUUUUGGUAAUGAAAUGUGUAAAUUGAAUGUAUACUGUCAAGUUUGAAUGUUUUAUUUUGCAGUAGGUGACUCUAGUAUUUUUUUCUAUUACAGGUAAAUGCAAUAGAAAUUAAAUCUCAUGCGUCUGAAAAGGAAGUGGCCACUGUACUGCUUAGGAGAGAUUGCCCCUUCCCAGCUCCCCCAGGUUUUCCCCGCCCUAGUACAUUACAGGGAGAUCAGGAUGUUCAUAGCUACAGAUCCCCACAUUUGCUCUGUGCCACAUGCCCUUAAAAUCUCAUUAAACUAUUUGAAAAUGUGUAUUUACAAGCAUCUCUGGAUUCCUAAUGCCGUUGCAGAGAUGCUCUUUAAGAAGGUGUGUUUCACAGGCCAGGAGGCUUUUAAUGGAAAUGGAAGUUAUUAACAAAACGCAAAUGACUAGUGUGGUCAUCUUUGUGUUUCCCUAAGAGGUAGGAGUCAUUUGGAAAAAGCUUGACAUACAGUCAGUUCCUGUUGGUAUUUGCUUGCUGUUCUAAUCGAAGGUGAAAAGGAACAAGUGGUAGCUAAUAUAUUCCUGGCAUUAUAUUGUGAGAAUAUUAAUGAUGUUUAUUAUUGAUGUCAUUAUCAGAAUAUGAUGAUUCCCGUGUCCUAUUACAGGUUCUUAUGUUUUACAUGACCAGUAGGUGGAAGCAGCAGUGAGCGGUGGGGUCUGUCGGAUUGGUCCGUGCUAUGCCACGUGCCAUGAUUGAAGGGAAGGGGCAGGGCACAAGCUGGGCUCUGGGCUGCCCUCCAUUUGUGGCAAUCCUGAUGUAAUACUUUGUCUGUUAAUACACAGUAAUCUUUCACUUUACAGCAUA